rnacentral:lncRNA from 1 species
AUGCUCCUCAUGUGGACUUCUGCUCUUAAAGGGUGGGCUCACCUCAGCCAGCUUCCUGCCUGGUCAGAGAAGGACAGUGGAGGAGGCCCAGCUGGACCCUCUCCGCUUGGCCACUGUAGCAGUUGCCAGAUAUCUUCAUUUUUAACCAUCUACCCUGCAUACUUUGAGGAAGACUGGCACAGACCCUAUGGACCGCCUUCUAGAAGUAAGUUUCUGGGCCAGGUUCUUUUGAGAAGCAGGGCUCGAGGGGAAGAGAUAGGGAGCUCCUACUGGCCCAUUCUGGGAGCAGUGGCAACCCUGACCUGAACAUCCAGUCUCUGGCACUGGAGGGGGAAGAGGUAUGUAAGGUGGUACAGGUCCCGGCAUGCAGAAACUGUGGCUUCCCCUAUCUACAGAGCAAAGCAUCCUCCUUCAAAAGCAUGAUUCCCCCCUGCCAAAAAAAAAAACAUGGGCCACCCCUGGGUCCCAUUCUAUAAUGAGGAAGAGAGGCCACUCACAUCUGUGAAGCACAGCUUGUGUUUAGAAGUGCCUGUCUGGCUUACCUUUAUGUGAUUCUGUAAAUGGGGAGCAGAAGCAUCUGAGAUCCAGAUGGGCAUGUGACUUGCGGAGCUUUCUGCUCAGAUGGCUUUACCAGGAGCAGGGGCUAGAAGCUGACCUUAGCUACCUCUCCUUUUCUCUCUUCAUCACCCCUGCCAACCCUGAGCUCCUGACAGUUCACCCUGUGUUUUCAGGCUCACUGGAGAGCCAGGAGCUGGAGUACAAACCAUUUAUGUUCCUUGUGCAUUGGUCCUCAUUCAUGAGCAGCACAGCUGUCUGGGAGUGGGAGAAUUGGAUAACCCAACAUGUGGCCCAUUUUUGUUUCCUCUCCUCCUUCAAAUAGUCCAAGAAAGAGCAUGUGUGAGUUGGUCCCACUAGGCCUUCAUUCCAGGACAUCAAAAUAUUGAUCUGGGUCCGGGGUCUCUUGCUGCAUCUGUGAGACCUGAAGGUCUUUCCUAUCAACAGUAAAAAUGAAGAACAAAUAUCAAAGACAUAGUAGCCUAAGCCCAGCUCCUACCUAUGCGGCUGGCCCAGCUGUAUAAUUAAGUAGCAGAAUUACUCUGAUGGGCUCUCCUUUUCUUUGGUUUUGCUUUUGUUUGUCCUCCUAUUUGACUAUUGUCACUUUCUCAAGGCAAAUACCCACCCUGCACUCCAUUUGAAGGUUGGCAUCCCCCUCACUUAAGGUGAGGUCAGCCUGGCAGAUAGCACAUUGAGAAGUGUAUUCAGCAUCUGUGCAGCACCGCUUUGAAUUAAAGACAUUAUCUUAUAUGAUGUGACUGCAUCAAGAAUGAUCAUCCCAGAAACAAAUGGGUGUGUGCUCACAUUUUAACAGGAAAACUCAAUUUUGAUGAAAUCCACACACUGAAUUCUGGCAAGAUUUUGUCUUAGUAUAUUCAGGCUGCUAUACCACUGUAGCACUGGCUGGCUCAUAAACUAAUUUAUCUCAGGUCCGGAGGCUGGGAAGUCCAAGAUCAAGGUACCUGCAGAUUUGGUGCCUGGUGAGGACUUCCUGGUUCACAGUGGGUGCCUUCUCACUGUGUCCUCACAUGGUGGAAGGGGCGAGGGAACUCUCUGGAGUCUAUUCUGUAAGGGCACUAAUCCCACUCAUGAGGGCUCCAACCUCCUGACCUAAUCACCUUCCAAAGGCCCCACCUCCCAAUACCCUCCCAUUUGGGUUAGGAUUUCAACAUAUAAGCAUGGGGGGGGGGUGGACAUAAAUAUUCAGUCCAUUGAACUUUUUCUACAAGUGUAGAAAAUAUAGAUAAUCUUUUGUAAUUGUGACUUUAACUACUAGUGACCAUUCAAGACCUGUCUAUGACUCCAUUAUUUGCAAUCACAGCUCAAAAUAUGCAUAAAUCUAAGAUGAUGGAAUGGCAAUUAGCUGUGUUAUUGGAAGAUUACAAAGUUAGUUAUGCUACUAAAACCCCAAGGUGUUACCAUGAGGCUGCCGACCUCACCCCCCACCUGCGGAGCCAACGGCAGCUGGGAGACCCUGGGCUUAGAGACUGAACACUGGCCAGGUAUUGUGGGCUCAUUCUCAUUUUCUCUUUAAGGUCAGUUAUAAUUUUCCUUAGAGAAUUAAAAACCCUAGGAAGCCUGGGUGGCUUAGUGGUUGAGCAUCUGUCUUUGGCUCAGGUCGUGAUCCUGGGUCCUGGGAUCGAGUCCCACAUAGGGCUCCCCAGAGGGAGCCUGCUUCUCCCUCUUCCUAUGUCUCUGCCUCGUUCUCUGUGUUUCUUAUGAAUAAAUAAAUAAAAUCUAUUUUAAAAAGGAAAGAAAAUUGAAAACACAAUAUGAACAGUAAGAAAUGAAAGGGAAAUAUUCUGCAGCCCCCAGCACAAACACAAGUAAUCAAGUUAAUAAAUUUGCUUCCAUUUUUCAUGGCCUUAUUCAAGGUAUCCCCUCUAAAAAGAAAAAUGUCUUUAGAGCAGUGCUCUUUUCAAUAGCCAAGGAAUGGCAACAACCCAGACGUCCAUGAAUGGCUGAGUUCCUCCAGUGGAAUAUCAGUGAGGCAUUCAUAGGAAUGAAGUUCAGAGACUACUGACUGCACCCUUUAAAAGAUGAAUUUUAGGGUGUGUGAAUUAUAUCUCAUUUGAAAAAAGAAAAGAAAAGAAAGAAAGAAAGAAAGAAAGAAAGAAAGAAGAAAGAAAGAAAGAAAGAAAGAAAGAAAGAAAGAAAGAAAGAAAGAAAGAAAGAAAGAAAGAAAAAGAAAGAAAGAUAGAUAGAUCACUUCCUACUCUGUUCCCGGGACUCUGGUCUGGAGGAUGGUGUUACUGUGGCCCAGGGAGGGUCCCUGGAUAGAACAAGGCUGGAGAUCUGGGAUCUGGGGAGGAGGGAACUCGCCCAGGGGAGCAGGGGACGUGGGUUCUAAUGACCCCCCAAGCAUGUCCUGCAGGCCAGCCCUGUCACCUCCUGGGGACUGUAUCAAUAAAGCAAAGAAAUCAGAUCUUGAAGCUCUUAUAAGCACUGUCAUUGGAGUCUCAUGUUGUCAUCCCCAUUUUACAGAUGUGGAAACUGAGGCCUAGUGCCUGAAGGGCAGCCAUGCAAUGGGUCCCUACUUGAGGCUCCUACUGGUUGUCUUUGCUGUAGGGGCCAGUGAGGCAGGGUCUGUCCUGCAAGAGUCUCCCUGAGGGGCCAGAGCAGGAGUAUCAGCCAAACCACUCAAAAAUGGCCUGUUGGGUGGGGCUCAUGGUGGGGUGAGUGAGUGGCAGGUGGAGUCAGAAGGAACAAUUGUGGAGUUUUAACGCUUGUGCACACAAAGAUGGGUGGUUUGCGACAGUGCUUUGGCAAGGAAGUUAUUUGAUUCUUGGGUUUGGAGAGUUGCCAGGCCCAUAGGUGCUCCCAGAAACCAGGCAAGGGUAGGUCAGGGGCAUGUGUGGGGACCCACUGCUACCUGCAACUGUCCAAGGAUGUCUGCUGGUGUCCCAUGUAGCCAGGGCAUUCCAGAGAAGCCAGAAGUCAAGAUUUUCAGAUGUAAUCUCCCUCUCAGUUAAUAAUGGCAACUAAUUCUUGUCUUUUUUUUUUAAGAUUUUAUUUAUUUAUUCAUUAGAGAUACAGAGAGAGAGAGAGGCAGAGGGAGAAGCAGGCUCCCUGCGGGCAGCCUGAUGCAAGACUCGAUCCCAGGACCCCAGGAUCACGACCUGAGCCAAAGACAGACACUCAACCACUGAAUCACCCAGGGUUCCCAGGGGUUUUAAUUCUCUAAGGAAAAUUAUAACUGACCUUAAAAAGAAAAUGAGAAUGAGCCCACAAUACCUGGCCAGUGUUCAGUCUCUGUUAAUUUUGGCCCAAGAAACAGGGCCACUGAGUAAACAGAGACUUGCCUGACAGUAAACCAGCUCUUACAUAUUGGAAGCCACUUCCCAAGGUUGAUCACAUCUGCCCAGGCCAAAAGCCACUCCCUAUUGUCUUGGCCUGCCUCCUGCCUUCCCCUGUCGCUUGCACCUCCUCUUCCACCACGAGUUGGAGUUGUUGGCCCCAAUCCCCACCCCUCAACUCCCCUCCUUCCAAACUCCACCCCUGACUCCCAUCAUGCCAUCCCAGCCCCACCUUCUCAAGGGUGUCCCCCUGCAGACUCCCCCUCCCUCCUGCAACUCUCCUAAAGGGUCAUCCCUACUGUGUGUACAAGUUCCAGAAAGUCAAAUUCUCCUGACUCUUUGCACCCCUCUAGCUUCCACCACUUC